GGCCUCGUAGCUCAGUUGGUAGAGCAUGCCGUACAAAGCGUAGGCGGCGUCCAUGCGUGUGUUCGAAUCCCACCGAUGCUA
rnacentral:tRNA from 1 species